UACGUAGGCAGCGAGCGUUGUUCGGAGUUACUGGGCGUAAAGCGUGCGUAGGCGGUUUUGUAAGUUUGGUGUGAAAUCUCCCGGCUCAACUGGGAGGGUGCGCCGAAAACUGCAAGGCUGGAGUAUGGGAGAGGUAGGCGGAAUUCCUGGUGUAGCGGUGAAAUGCGUAGAUAUCAGGAGGAACACCUGUGGUGUAGACGGCUUACUGGACCAUGACUGACGCUGAGGCACGAAGGCGUGGGGAGCAAACAGG
rnacentral:rRNA from 1 species